GCCCUUAGAUAGCUCAGUUGGUUAGAGGAUAGUGCUGAUAACAUCAAGGUUGCAGGUUCGAUCCCUGAAUGUGAAGCC